rnacentral:rRNA from 1 species
GUCCACGCCGUAAACGAUGGGCACUAGGUGCCGGGGGGAGCGACCCCUUCGGUGCCGCAGCUAACGCGUUAAGUGCCCCGCCUGGGGAGUACGGCCGCAAGGCUGAAACUCAAAGGAAUUGACGGGGGCCCGCACAAGCGGUGGAGCAUGUGGUUUAAUUCGAAGCAACGCGAAGAACCUUACCUAGGUUUGACAUGCUGGGGAAAGCCUCAUGAAAGUGGGGCCCUUCUUCGGAACCCCAGCACAGGUGCUGCAUGGCUGUCGU